AGUUCCGGGGUGUCAUCAUAUCAGAUUGCAAAUCCGAAGAAGCAGGCUAACACCUGCCGGGGCUU
rnacentral:tRNA from 1 species